GACGAACGCUGGCGGCGUGCUUAACACAUGCAAGCCGAACGGAAAGGCCCUGCUUUUGUGGGGUGCUCGAGUGGCGAACGGGUGAGUAACACGUGAGUAACCUGCCCUUGACUUUGGGAUAACUUCAGGAAACUGGGGCUAAUACCGGAUAGGAGCUCCUGCUGCAUGGUGGGGGUUGGAAAGUUUCGGCGGUGGGGGAUGUACUCGCGGCUUAUCCGCUUGUUGGUGGGGUAGUGGCUUACCAAGGCUUUGACGGGUAGCCGGCCUGAGAGGGUGACCGGCCACAUUGGGACUGAGAUACGGCCCAGACUCCUACGGGAGGCAGCAGUGGGGAAUAUUGCACAAUGGGCGGAAGCCUGAUGCAGCAACGCCGCGUGCGGGAUGACGGCCUUCGGGUUGUAAACCGCUUUCGCCUGUGACGAAGCGUGAGUGACGGUAAUGGGUAAAGAAGCACCGGCUAACUACGUG
rnacentral:rRNA from 1 species